AUUGAACGCUAGCGGGAUGCUUUCCACAUGCAAGUCGAACGAGUGGCGGACGGGUGAGUAAUAUAUCGGAACGUGCCCAGUAGCGGGGGAUAACUACUCGACAGAGUGGCUAAUACCGCCUACUAUUGGCGAGGCCUAUAUCGGAUUAGCUAGUUGGUGGGGUAAAGGCUCACCAAGGCAACGAUCCGUAGCUGGUUUGCGAGGAAUACCAGCCAAACUGGGCAUGAGACACGGCCCAGACUCCUACUGUAGGCAGCAGUGGGGAAUUUUGGACAAUGGGGGAAACCCUGAUCCAGCCAUCCCGCGUGUAUGAGAAGGCCUUCGGGUUGUAAAGUACUUUUGGCAGAGAAGCGGUAUCUGCAGAAUAAGCACCGGCUAACUACGUGCCAGCCGCCGCGGUAAUAC
rnacentral:rRNA from 1 species